rnacentral:rRNA from 1 species
GACGAACGCGGCGGCGUGCCUAAUACAUGCAAGUAGAACGCUGAAGGAGGAGCUUGCUUCUCUGGAUGAGUUGCGAACGGGUGAGUAACGCGUAGGUAACCUGCCCGGUAGCGGGGGAUAACUAUUGGAAACGAUAGCUAAUACCGCAUAAUAGUAGAUGUUGCAUGACAUUUACUUAAAAGGUGCAAUUGCAUCACUACCAGAUGGACCUGCGUUGUAUUAGCUAGUUGGUGGGGUAACGGCUCACCAAGGCGACGAUACAUAGCCGACCUGAGAGGGUGAUCGGCCACACUGGGACUGAGACACGGCCCAGACUCCUACGGGAGGCAGCAGUAGGGAAUCUUAGGCAAUGGACGGAAGUCUGACCGAGCAACGCCGCGUGAGUGAAGAAGGUUUUCGGAUCGUAAAGCUCUGUUGUAAGAGAAGAACGAGUGUGAGAGUGGAAAGUUCACACUGUGACG